rnacentral:tRNA from 1 species
AGCCCGGUGGUGUAGCGGCCAAGCAUAUAGGCCUUUGGAGCCUGUGACCCUGGUUCGAAUCCAGGCCGGGCUA